GCCCAUCAGAAGGGGAUAACACUUGGAAACAGGUGCUAAUACCGUAUAACAAUCGAAACCGCAUGGUUUUGAUUUGAAAGGCGCUUUCGGGUGUCGCUGAUGGAUGGACCCGCGGUGCAUUAGCUAGUUGGUGAGGUAACGGCUCACCAAGGCCACGAUGCAUAGCCGACCUGAGAGGGUGAUCGGCCACAUUGGGACUGAGACACGGCCCAAACUCCUACGGGAGGCAGCAGUAGGGAAUCUUCGGCAAUGGACGAAAGUCUGACCGAGCAACGCCGCGUGAGUGAAGAAGGUUUUCGGAUCGUAAAACUCUGUUGUUAGAGAAGAACAAGGAUGAGAGUAACUGUUCAUCCCUUGACGGUAUCUAACCAGAAAGCCACGGCUAACUACGUGCCAGCAGCCGCGGUAAUACGUAGGUGGCAAGCGUUGUCCGGAUUUAUUGGGCGUAAAGCGAGCGCAGGCGGUUUCUUAAGUCUGAUGUGAAAGCCCCCGGCUCAACCGGGGAGGGUCAUUGGAAACUGGGAGACUUGAGUGCAGAAGAGGAGAGUGGAAUUCCAUGUGUAGCGGUGAAAUGCGUAGAUAUAUGGAGGAACACCAGUGGCGAAGGCGGCUCUCUGGUCUGUAACUGACGCUGAGGCUCGAAAGCGUGGGGAGCAAACAGGAUUAGAUACCCUGGUAGUCCACGCCGUAAACGAUGAGUGCUAAGUGUUGGAGGGUUUCCGCCCUUCAGUGCUGCAGCUAACGCAUUAAGCACUCCGCCUGGGGAGUACGACCGCAAGGUUGAAACUCAAAGGAAUUGACGGGGGCCCGCACAAGCGGUGGAGCAUGUGGUUUAAUUCGAAGCAACGCGAAGAACCUUACCAGGUCUUGACAUCCUUUGACCACUCUAGAGAUAGAGCUUCCCCUUCGGGGGCAAAGUGACAGGUGGUGCAUGGUUGUCGUCAGCUCGUGUCGUGAGAUGUUGGGUUAAGUCCCGCAACGAGCGCAACCCUUAUUGUUAGUUGCCAUCAUUCAGUUGGGCACUCUAGCAAGACUGCCGGUGACAAACCGGAGGAAGGUGGGGAUGACGUCAAAUCAUCAUGCCCCUUAUGACCUGGGCUACACACGUGCUACAAUGGGAAGUACAACGAGUUGCGAAGUCGCGAGGCUAAGCUAAUCUCUUAAAGCUUCUCUCAGUUCGGAUUGCAGGCUGCAACUCGC
rnacentral:rRNA from 1 species